GCAUUUAUAGCUCAGUUGGUUAGAGCGUGGUGCUGAUAAUGCCAUGGUUGCAGGUUCGAACCCUGUAAAGGAAGAUGUA